rnacentral:tRNA from 1 species
UAAAAAGAUAAGCUAAAUAAGCUAUUGGGCUCAUACCUCAAUUAUAAAGGUCCUACUCCUUUUCUUUUU